rnacentral:lncRNA from 10 species
GUGGGCAGUGACAUUGUCAUCCCGCCCAGCUUGCAGCCUGCUCUGGCACAGCCUCCUUACGGUCUCCACACCCAUGACUCCGAGGUGAGUCCUGGUGGCCCCGCCUAGAGCUCCAGGGAGGACUACCCCGCACAUGGCCCUGGCAUCUCACAGGAGGAUGGGAAGAGGAACUUUGAAGGCCAUGGUCAUUGCCAUGGACACGAAGCUUACUCUGCUUGCACAGAUUCUUUAAGUCUAGGGUUGCAAACACAACACCUACAGGGCCAGACAGGCAAGAUGAAGCUAAAGCCAGCUGCUAUAGAACAACCUGGAGUUUCAGGGAGGCUUCCAUUAACUCCAGCUGGAACAUCUUGGACAUGCCCUUUCCUCAUGUCACAGACAGCUGCUCCUGAACCAUGGCAGUCAGCUCUACAGAAAUCCAAAUUUUCUGUUACUGUUAUUGUUGGCAACCAAUUUAAGUGAGUUUCACAACAAGGUGCAGGCUGAAGACGUUUCUGAGAAUGUUCCGCUUGUUGGCCCCAUUUCUGGAUUUAUGGAGUAUGAGGACGUCGUCAAAAUUUGUUGAACGGUAUACACAGUUUUCUUUCUGUAUGUUGUACUUCAAUGCAAAGCUUUAUUCAAACAAAUCAGAGCCAUGCCCAGUUCCAUCAGAGGAGGUCUGAGGACCGGGUUCGGCCUGUUCACCUGUCUGGCUUCUGGCUUAGAACAGCCACCAGCGGGCGACAACCCACUGACCCCAGAGGCUGCCGGGGUCUGUUCCCAUCCCUAAUACCACACUGACCCCUGCUGGUCCUGGCUCACUGCAUUUUUCCAUCCGACUGAUUUUCUAGGCCCAGUAACUCGUAAUUGCCCCGGAGGCAAAUUUUGGGAAUAAAUUAAAUGUUUUGGAGUUUCUUGGGCAAGGCAGGAUUUUGAAUGUUCCUCCAGGGAGUCAAAAAUUGAGCGUCAGCACAGGUGCAGACAAACAGGCAUCUAAUUAAUCAAUGGAGGAUGGAGUGCCU